UUGCCCAUCGGGGCCUCGGAUACCUGCUUUAUUAUUUUU
rnacentral:ncRNA from 1 species